AUUGAACGCUGGCGGCAGGCCUAACACAUGCAAGUCGAACGAGUGGCGGACGGGUGAGUAAUGUCUGGGAACCUGCCUGAUGGAGGGGGCUAACUACUGGAAACGGUAGCUAAUACCGCAUCCCAUCGGAUGUGCCCAGAUGGGAUUAGCUAGUAGGUGGGGUAAAGGCUCACCUCGGCGACGAUCCCUAGCUGGUCUGAGAGGAUGACCAGCCACACGGGAACGGAGACACGGGCCAGACUCCUACGGGAGGCAGCAGUGGGGAAUAUUGCACAAUGGGCGCAAGCCUGAGGCAGCCAUGCCGCGUGUAUGAAGAAGGCCUUCGGGUUGUAAAGUACUUUCAGCGGGGAGGCGUUACCCGCAGAGUAAGCACCGGCUAACUCCGUGCCAGCAGCCGCGGUAAUAC
rnacentral:rRNA from 1 species